GGGGGGAGUGUUCUUCUCUGCUGGGAGGACCUAGAGUUGGCUCACCCUUUUAGAGACGUCCAUGAUCAGCACCAGCUAACAGCUCCAGGCACAGAAAUAACCUAACUGAAGCCACAGGAGGGAGUGGGCUGCAGAAACGGAGAUCUGAGGGAUAGCCUGGCUCUGAGACGUUGUGCAGCUUCCUGUCUCAUGGCAAAAGGCUGUUGUGGAGGCAGAAGAUGGAAGAUUCUGGAGGAACAAGUAUUCAAUCUGCUAAUGAGAACUGUGUUCUCACUCCUGACUGAUAAUGUUGAUUUUUACCUGAGCCCCGCCCUCCUGGAAAACAGCAGCUCUUAAAGGAACCCCCACCCUUCG